GAUGAACGCUGGCGGUAUGCUUAACACAUGCAAGUCGAACGGACUCUUCGGAGUUAGUGGCGGACGGGUGAGUAACGCGUGAGAAUCUGGCUUUGGGUUCGGGACAACCACUGGAAACGGUGGCUAAUACCGGAUGUGCCGAGAGGUAAAAGAGAAAUUGCCUGAAGAUGAGCUCGCGUCUGAUUAGCUAGUUGGUGAGGUAAAGGCUCACCAAGGCAGCGAUCAGUAGCUGGUCUGAGAGGAUGACCAGCCACACUGGGACUGAGACACGGCCCAGACUCCUACGGGAGGGGGCAGUGGGGAAUUUUCCGCAAUGGGCGAAAGCCUGACGGAGCAAUACCGCGUGAGGGAAGAAGGCUCUUGGGUUGUAAACCUCUUUUCUUAGGGAAGAACAAAAUGACGGUACCUAAGGAAUAAGCAUCGGCUAACUCCGUG
rnacentral:rRNA from 1 species